UCCUUCCCGCUGACGGGCCUCUGCGGCGUCUGAGAGCCCGAGACGGCGGAGAGGAGCAGGCCGGUGCCGGGGAGGGUCAGGACGGGGAGAGACGCGGAGGGAAGACGGGCAGUUCGCGACCACCGGAGGGUUCAGGCCCGGGGCUGCAUGGCGAAACGGGGAGAAGAAGGAUUUGAUGGUCUGAAGGUGGAUCAGUUUCAUCGCCACAAAAGUCUCUCAGCAUUUUAAUGUCUUUUAUUUCAUUUGUGUUGAUUUCAAAUGCAUCGAUCAGGCCUGUAGUGUGUUUUUGUUUCAUCAUGCCUCUCGAUCUGGACUGUGACGCAGCGGCAAACAAAACGAGUCCAGAGGCGGAACAGGAAGUGUGUGAGGUCACACAUGAAGAGAGAGUGACUGACACACCAACACGAAGAGUCGGACGACCCGCUCGAAAACGCAAAGCACCAGGAUUGGAUAGUUGUGGGCGUGUAAUAGAGGGUGUGGCCUGUAUAAAGCAGGCGGGGUGUAACGGUGAAGCAGACAGUCUGGAGCGGAACGACUCCUCCCCUGACUCCACCCACAGGAACAGCACAGACACGCCCCCCGGAGCAGACGAAGACUCUGCCCCCUCCACUCCACGGAAGAAACGAGGCCGACGGAAACUCGAGCACCCGGAGCGACACGUGGAGGAGGACGACACCAGCAGCGACACCAGCAGAGCAGAGAGCGAAGGGGGCCGUCUGAGGGGCCGGCAGGGCUGGGACAUCAGUCUGAGGAGACGGCCCGUACAAAGAGAGACCUUCCAGGCCGGAGAUCCUUAUCACAUCAGCCGCAGGGAGAAAGAGGAGUGGCUUGCCCGCUGGAAGAAAGUGAAGGAGGAGAAGGCCCAUCUGGUGCCCACCAUGAGUGACACAAUGGACGACCAAUCAGCAGUGAGUUCUCAGAAGGAGGAGGAGGAGCCAGCCAUCAACCUCCCAUCCACACCUACACCUCAGCAGCAGCACACUGACCCCGCCUCCCCAACGGUUGCCACGACGCCUGAGGCGCCUCCUGUCGCCUGCGGUAACAAAGUGAUGACAAGGUCCUCAGAGAUGGAUCAGGAAUAUGAGGAUGGCCGUGGGUUCGGGAUCGGAGAGCUCAUCUGGGGAAAGUUACGGGGAUUCUCCUGGUGGCCCGGCCGGAUCGUGUCGUGGUGGAUGACGGGUCGCAGUCGGGCCGCUGAAGGAACCCGCUGGGUCAUGUGGUUUGGAGAUGGCAAAUUCUCAGUGGUGUGUGUGGAAAAGCUGUUGCCCUUGAGUACAUUUUGCACAUCUUUUCAUCAGCCCACCUACAACAAACAACCCAUGUACAGAAAAGCCAUCUAUGAAGUUUUACAGACGGCGAGUACGCGUGCAGGUAAACCGUUCCCUGUAUGUGUGUCCACCGAUGACUCAGACUCGGUGAAGGGUGUAGAACUGCAGACGCGACAGAUGAUUGAAUGGGCCAGCGCUGGGUUCCUCCCCUCCGGUGCCAAAGGCCUGGAGCCGCCACCAGCGGAGCGGAAUCCUUAUACUGAGGUGUAUCCAGAGAUGUGGGUGGAGCCUGAGGCUGCUGCGUACACAGCUCCGCCCCCUGCCAAGAAACCCAGGAAGAACAGUGUUGAGAAACCCAAAAUUAAAGAGAUUAUAGAUGAAGGAACCCGAGAGAGACUCGUGUAUGAAGUCAGACAGAAGUGUCGCAAUCUAGAAGAUAUCUGUAUUUCCUGUGGAAGUCAGAACGUAUCACUUGAACAUCCUCUGUUUAUUGGAGCCAUGUGCCAGAGCUGCAAGAACUGUUUCCUGGAGUGCGCGUAUCAGUACGACGAUGACGGUUAUCAGUCGUACUGCACCAUCUGCUGUGGAGGAAGAGAAGUGCUCAUGUGCGGGAACAACAACUGCUGCAGGUGUUUCUGUGUGGAGUGUGUAGAUCUGUUAGUCGGGGCCGGUUCGGCACAGGCCGCUAUCCGUGAAGACCCCUGGAACUGCUACAUGUGCUGCAGCAGGAACGUCUUCGGCCUUCUGAGGCGCAGAGACGACUGGACCUCACGACUGCAGCUGUUCUUCGCCAACAACCACGACCAGGACUUUGAACCACCAAGGUUGUAUUCUCCAGUAGCGGCUGAGAAGAGGCAGCCAAUCAGAGUGCUUUCUUUAUUUGAUGGCAUCGCUACAGGGCUGCUGGUGCUGAAGGAUCUGGGUAUUCAGGUGGCGCGGUAUGUGGCAUCAGAGGUGUGUGAAGACUCCAUCACGGUGGGGAUGGUGCGACACCCGGAAGGGAUCAUUUAUGUGGGCGAUGUGAGGAACGUCACACGCAAGCAUAUUCAGGAGUGGGGGCCUUUUGAUCUUGUGAUCGGUGGGAGCCCCUGCAACGAUCUGUCCAUCGUAAACCCUGCCAGGAAAGGCCUCUACGAGGGCACCGGGCGUCUGUUUUUUGAGUUCUACCGGCUGCUUCACGAAGCGCGACCCAAAGACGGAGACGACCGACCGUUCUUCUGGCUGUUUGAAAAUGUUGUUGCCAUGGGAGUCAGUGACAAAAGGGACAUCUCUCGCUUUCUGGAGUGUAAUCCAGUAAUGAUCGACGCUAAGGAGGUGUCAGCCGCACACAGAGCUCGAUACUUCUGGGGCAACUUACCUGGAAUGAACCGGUACAAUCUACAAUAUGAGCCACUGACUGCCAUGGCAAAUGAUAAACUCGACCUGCAAGACUGUCUGGAGCAUGGACGCACAGCUAAGUGUCCCCGACUAAGCAAGCCAGAGGCGACAGUGGCAAGAACCCAAACUCCAUCAGGUGACAGAAUGGAGAAAAAAACCUUGGGAAAAACCAGGCUCAGUCGGGAGGCCAGUCCUCCUCUGGCCAACGAAAGAACACGUUCGGCAAAGUGCGAACCAUCACAACUCGCUCAAACUCCAUAAAACAGGGCAAAGACCAGCACUAUCCCGUCUAUAUGAACAAUAAAGAGGAUAUCCUGUGGUGCACCGAGAUGGAGAGAGUGUUCGGCUUCCCCGUCCAUUACACUGACGUGUCUAACAUGAGUCGUCUCGCCAGGCAAAGGCUUCUGGGAAGGUCAUGGAGUGUGCCCGUGAUUCGCCACCUCUUCGCUCCGCUGAAGGAAUACUUCGCCUGUUUCUGAAGCUCCGCCCACCACACGGCAUGAUGGCGUCGUGACGUCCCUCCUCUUCCUUUCCUUUCCAAUAAGCUCCACCUUCUUGUGUUCAUUUAUUUUUACUCGUGGCCUGUGAAUGUCUGGUGCUAUCCCAAGAUUAAUAUUCGACCCACUAGACAGCCACACUUCACAUAUUUAUUUGGAGUCCACAUUUUUAAUUUUCUUGUAUUUUAUUGUCCGUCGUUUUAGGGGUUUUUUUGGUCAUGUUCCAACUGUGACAACUCUCUCUCUCACAAAACUGACAGAGACAAAAUGUGAGUGUGUUUGCAAGUGUAUGUUUGUCCGAGCGUGAAAAUAUAGAGCACAAACCGCUGGUUAACUAGUGUGAAACAGAAGCAGAUGCUCUCUGAAUACUCGAACCGGGCGAGUCCUGUUCCCCGACCCUAAAUCUGAUGUUGCAGCGUAAACUAACUAGGUAAGAUGUGGCAACUUUCAAGCAUCAUGCAUCAAGUCAUUGUUCUGACCUCACUGAAAGCAAAAUGCUGCGGUGAAGAGUCAAAAUCACACUGAACAUAUUUAAUGUUUUAUAUAUCUCACGGAAAAUAUGUGCAGGUCAUGCUUCACCCUAAUAUCAAAAGAAAAAAAUGAGAAAUUAUAAACAGCACCAUGAUUUUUAUGACAAAAGCACAUUUCCCCCUCCCAAAUUUCAUAAUAAAUAAAUAUAUAUAUAUAGGUGCUAUCAAACGAUUAAUCGCAAUUAAUCGCAUCCAAAAUAAAAGUUUGUUUUUACAUAAUAUAUAUGUGUGUACUGUGUAUAUUUAUUAUGUAUAUAUACAUAAACAUGUAUACAUAAAUAUUUCUUAAAUACAUACAUGUGUGUGUGUGUAUUUAUAUAUACAUAAUAUCAUUAGAGGUCGACCGAUAUUGGAUUUUACCGAUACCGAUAACUAGGUUGGAACAUACUUGCCGAUAACCGAUUAAUCAGUCGAUAGUUUUUAAAAUGGAUACUGGAUAAAUAAUAAUAAUAAUAAUAAUAAAAUAACACUAAGUAAAACAGUGCUGAACUUUUUGUAUAAAUAAGUACUGUUCUGUCAAAAUGUGCUAUAUGAAUAUAUUAAUUAUAUAAAUAAAUAUUACUUUCUUUGCCUCUAUUUUAGAACACUUGAUGAUCAUCUAAUCCAAAUACCAAAAUAUGUAUUGCAGUGAUGAUAAAGAAAUGAAAUCAGAUGCGUUUCUGAUUUGUUUAUGUUUCUGUCGGCUGCAUGAACUUUCACACAUCGCUUUAAAUAUGCAACUUCGCUGGCUAAUGAAAGCAUAAAAGUGACCAGCUGAAUAUACACUAGUGCAAAUAGAUGAAAACAAUCGUGACGUUAAACAUUUGGGUCGGAUUUGCGUGCAUUUUGUCAUGUGGUUUCAAACGCUUGAGGUGCUACUAAUGUUAGCGUCCUCUCAGCCUGAUCGUAAACAUAGGGUAGCCUAGUGUACUGCUGUUUUUUCUCUGCUAAUGCAGCAUCUAGUCAGCAAAUUAAUUACUUUAUAAUGAUAUGACAACAUGUACUGUAUUCAUACCGCUGUUGGUGUUUUAAAUGCUUAUCUGAAGUGUCAGCGAUCUCCUGCCGCGUGUGCUCUCUGUGCAGCACUCAGCCUCACGUGUCAAAGUAAACAACAGCGCAGUGUUAGUAUUUAUUUGGCCACUAGAGGCUGCUAUUCUACUGUAUGAUGAUACCCUUUUCAGCCGCUGCAGUCUCCUAUAGCCAAAGUCCUUUUAAGACAAGUCAUUUCACUCAGCAGCCAUCUCUCAAAUGCCUCUCAGGCAUUCAAGUGCAGCUCCUAUAUUUUUGAAUGGGGAAACAUCAAAUUCUCCAAAGUUGUUUAUCAUAUCAUAUUUGAAAUCACCAAUGAAGUCUGACAACAACUGUCUCAUAAAUUUUGUUUCUAAACGCUCAAAUCAUGACAAAAAAACCUGUAUUUUUCAGGCUGGAUCAAGCUAAUGCGCAUGCACAGUCCUAAAUGCACGUCUCUUGUGCCUCAUUUCGGAGGCACGAGUCUGACCGUUUCUAUAGGAACCGGAGCUUCUAACGGCUGCUGCAGUGACGCGAUGACUUUACCAAUCGGCGAUUGGCUCUUAUUUAGAAGGUGUUACUGAACAAAGCAUUUAAAAAAAAAAAAAAGCUUUUAUUUAGAAGGCGGGACUUAUUCCACCAUAUUGCGCGUUGCACUUUCUCCCAUUCAAAACAAUACGAGUGACGCAUCUUGUGUUAUUCUAUAGUCUUUGCUAUAGACCUUAUGCGCCAGAGAAACAAGUGCGCCGCCAUCUUUAUAAUAUUGUCUUUGAACUUCCGUUUUUUGCGGUAGCCCUGUAUAUUUCUAUGGCAUGGCUGUCAAAGAGUAACUAGCUGGUGAAGUGGAUUUAUUUGUUGUAGAGUUAAUGAAAGUUAUGAGCAUUGUAAUGUUUAAAGCCGAUGUCUUAAAUGUCAGUAGACCGGGAAGAUUUUAAAACGAGCAAUUCAUUCAUAAAUACAAAAUCGCUGUGGAAAUACAAACCGGAAGUCAAAAGACAACGAGCGCAACGCUGAAAAGGGGCGAGGCUACAUAAGGUCUAUAGCUCUUGCAACAGACGCAACCCGGAAAAACUGUCGGCAUGCCGAUAACUGCUAAUACCUGAUUGUUCCACCAAUCAACUAUUGGUGCCGAUUAAUCGGCAAACCCGAUAAAUUGGUCGACCUCUAAAUAUCAUGUUUAUGUACAUUUAUGUAUACGUGUAUAUUUAUAUUUUUAUAUUUAUAUAUAAUUUAUAUUAUAUAAAAAUAUAAAUAUUCAUUUCCCAAAUUUCAUUGUAAUAUGAAGCUGUAAUAUUAUAUAUAUAUAUAUAUAUAUAUAUAUAUUACAAUAGUAGUUAAACAUCCAGAUGCAUUAUGGUAAUGAGAAUUUCGGGGGAAAUGUGGUUAAAGUUGUUAUAAAAAUAAAAAUAAAUCCAAAAGGUCCUAAAAAUAGGUUUUCUUUUUCGAUUUUUUGGAUGAAAUUUUACCUCAGACAUAUUUACAUGAGAUUAAGCAUUAAGCAGUGCUGUGUAUUAUUUCUAUCAUUACAUGUAUAGAAAUCAGGUGAAUCGCGGUUAGUUUGGACAGCCUUAUAUUAACAUUAUCACUUGCCGAUUUAUCAUGUCGUGCCUGGUUAGGAUACGUGUCUGUAACAUCAACGCAAACAUCAUUUUCAUGCAUAAACACACUUUUCCUGUGAGAGAGAAGAUGUGCUUGAAGAAUCAACAAUACACUGUUUACAGGUUACGCUCUUAAUACGGUACUACUAAACUACAGUAACUAUUCACUCAACUCCACUAACUCGACUAUGGUGCUCUCUCUCUCUCUCUCUCUCUCUCUCUCUCUGUCUCCCUGUUUCUCUCAGCAAUACAAACGCAGCACACAGUCCUGUAUGAUGCCUUUCUGCUGGAGCCUAUAGGGCACAUGUGAGAGAGCUGUGUCACAUCACACACACACACACAUGCACGCUGAGAGCUGUUACACACUCAUACACAUUCAUGUAAAAGGAUAGGGUAAAAUUAAUUUACUCACCCUCACCGAAGAAAGUAAGUCAUACAGAUUUGUAAUGACACGAGGGUUAGUAAAGAAGACAGAAAUUUCAUUUUGGGAGUGAAAUACUUCUUUGUGAGAGAAGUUUAUUUUCUUUGUAAGAUCAUGUCGUUUGCUGUCGUCUCUGAUGCAAUAUUCCGCCAGCAGACAGAAGCUGACCUUCCGCAUGGAAUUAUUUGCAUCCGAUUCUGCCAGAUCUUGCCGUUUUCACUCCACACUCUUUCAGACACCACCACUCUUACUGUGUUCAAUGUUUGUGUGUGUUCAGUCAGGUAUCAGGGAUGUUGUGUAGUUUUUAGCCCCUGCAUGCGUUUCUCCUGUCAGUGCAGGAACUCAGUGGUGCCGCAGAUACUCCAUGGUGCAGCUUCAUGGUGCUUCGUUCUCACUCUCUCCUGACUUGCUUUCUGCUCCCGGUUCAGCUCGGCUACGUUCACACCGUAGCUGCAUGUGGCCCAUAUCUGUUUUUUGACAACAGUGUGAGUAAAAAUUACAUUUUCAUCUUCCAACAAAGAAACUUUCUUGCGUGGAAAUUGAUUUCAGUGUGAACAGACUGGUUCAUGCAAUUUUUAACAUACACUACCAUUCAAAAGUUUGGGGUCAGUAAGAUUUUUUUUAAGGAAAUUGAUGCUUUUAUUCAGCAAGGAUGCAUUUAAUAGAAUAAUAGUGACAGUAAGGACGUUUAUAACGUUACAAAAGAUUCUAUUUCAAAUAAAUGCUGUUCUUUAGAACAUUCUAUUCAUUAAAGAAUUCUGAAAAAAAUGAAUCACGGGUUCCACAAAAUAUGAAGCAGCACAACUGUUUUCAACAUUGAUAAUAAUAAGAAAUGUUUCUUAAGCAGCAAAUUAUCAUAUUAGAAUGAUUUCUGAAGGAUCAUGUGACACUGAAGACUGGAGUAAAGAUGCUGAAAAUUCAAAAAUAAAUGACAUUUUAAAAUAUAUUCAAAUAGAAAAUUGGGAAUUGUGAUAAUAUUUCACAAUAUUACUGUUUUUAUUGUAUUUUUGAUUAAAUAAAUGAAGCCUGACUUCUUUAAAAAAAAAAUUUAAAAAAUCUUAUCGAUCCCAAACUUUUGAAUGGUAGUGUAGUUGCAUUCUUAACUCUUUCCUUGCCAGCGUUUAAAUAAAUGAAUAAAUAUUGCCAGCCACCAUCAGCCUUUUUGCUAAUUUUUGCAAAAAUUUCACGGCCCCCGAAGACUACAACAUGCAUAAGCAAUGCUUUUAUCGCUUGUUUCUGCUCCUUUUUUGCCUGUGUUUUGAUCCGGAGAUUCUGUACUCUUUCAGAAAAUGCAUAAUAGCGCCCCCUACCGUAUAACAGUGAAGAAACGGAAUGAGACGCUGCGUCUCGUUCCCUUUCUCAGGGAACUAUGGUUACAUACGUAACCUGAGACGUUUCCUUUCGAGGGAACUCGCGCUGCGUCCGAUAGGAUCGUUUUGGGAACGAUAUACCAAAACGCCAUAAUCACAAAUACCUGUCUGUGUGAAACCCUGGCACACUUAAGACAGUAAAACCGAUGAUCCUGGAGCCGUGUCCAGGUCAAGGUCAUAAUACCUCACAAAUGUGAGAGGCGAGGACCAACCGGCCGCAUCACAGAUCUCUUUGAGGGAAACCCCCGAAAUUAAGGCCUUGGAGGCUGCCAUACUCCUAGUCGAAUGAGCUAAUGGACACUGCUGGCCAGAGACCUCGUAGGCGAGUUAAAUAGCCUCAACUAUCCACUUGCUUACAGUGUGUUUGGAUGCAGGACGACCCCUGUUAUGUGGUCCAAAGCACACAAAUAACUGGUCUGCUUUCCUCCACAGGGCAGCUCUGUGGACAUUUCCAGACUUAUCCCUUCCUGGCGAACUUUCUCCAGAACUGCCGGGAGCAGAACAACUGGGGGAAAUGCAUACAGACGCAGCCUCGGCCACGUCUGUACCAUGGCAUCCAGUCCCAGAAGAGCUGGAUGUGUGAGGGAGAAUCAAAGUAGACAGUGCGUCUUAUCCUGAGACUCGAACAGAUCCACUUCCGCUUGGCCAUAAAUCUCCCAUAUGAGCUUCACCACCUCUGGGCGAAGUCUCCAUUCCCCUGGCCUCAGCCCCUGCCUCGACAGGAUGUCUGCUCCAAUAUUGUGAGUCCCUGGAAUAUAGACUGCUCGAUUCAGAUGUCGUAGAUCUAAAAUAGGGCGCAACCCCCCAUCCUUUUUUGGAACCAAGAAAUACUGGCUGUAAAACCCCAACUCCCUGUCACUCCCUCUUUUGCUAAUAAGGUUUUUAUUUCUUGCUCCAACACCAGAGCCUGCUGUGGAAGUACUGUCGUUUGCAGCACUCCUUUGAAUAGAGGUGGGCGGCACCAAAACUGGAUUUUGUAACUUUUCUCUAUAAUUUGCAGGACCCAACGUGAGAUAUUUUGAAGAGAUUUCCAAUCUACCAGAAAAUCUACUAAGGGAACCAGCCUCUCGAGGCUGGCCUCUGGUGUAUUGUUUACAGCACAUUUUUGAUGUAAAUUUAUCCUCCUCAGAGGAUGUGAAUGUGACGCAGCGUCGUGUUGUUCUGAACUUUGCGUCACUAUCACGGUGGGAACCGCUGCGCCCCGAAGCACCAGAGGUGGCGGGGUUGGCAGAACGGCCUCCUGAGGGCCACGAGGUGGGACGGGCACCGCAUACUGAGGUGUGUACCGCAUCACCCCAUGUGGGGAUGCCCUCAGAAGUAAAAAGCACUCAUCCAGUUUGCUUUUCGGACGAGCGCCCUGUUUCUCAGCUGGCCAUUCAAUGCUUAACUUUGACAACACCUCCAUAAUAUCUAACACCUCCACCAGCUCCUCGUACUCUGGGGAAAGUGAUGGUGAAUCAUCUUCCCCCAUAUCGAUGCUCAACACAUCCAAUUCCUCAGAACUGGAGUGUUGACGCGACGAGCCCUCUCCCUAGGCGGAAGAAACCGCGGGAUGGGCUUCCGACACCAGAGAGGGGGUGGCGGAUCUGCCAGGUGAAGGCUGAGAAAGUGCACUCAUGCCUGUCUCAAGCCCUGCUGACAGAUCCAUCUGCGAACCCCACGACAUCUUUCUCCACGCUGCCUCGGCAGCCGCGGGUCCAGAGUCGUGGGGAACGCUUGCCUGCGCACUUUCCUCGAAAAGUGCGAGGCGGGAGCGGAGCAUCCUUAGAGGAAGCUUCUCACAAUGCUCGCAUUCAGCCCCCUCGAAGGCUGAAAGAGCAUGCUCCGCUCCCAAACACACCACGCACAAAUCGUGUGUAUUCCCACCCGUAAGGAAACGAGGGAAGGGAAGAGCACACGGUUUAAAUGCUUGAGUGUUCGCCAUAAUAACGGUUAUAUUGAGCUGUACUAUUUCGGGACAGACAACAAUAAAUAGACAAGACAGUUUUACACAGAGUGCUUGGCUGAGGCAGAAAAGCUGAAGCUGGUCUCGUCGGAUGUGUAUUUAUCCUUUCCUGGUCGUGACGUCACCCGAUCGUGACGUUCACUCUCGCCAUUGGACUAGUUGACAGACGUGCAUCAGACGCUAUCACGCUGAGGGCGUUCCCAAAGCAAUCCUAUCGGACGCAGCGCGAGUUCCCUCGAAAGGGAAUUGUGUAAAUGGCGGGAAAGCAGUCUCAUAAAUGACAGAAAAUUCCGUAUGGUGGGGAAAGAGUUAAUUUAACUUGCUAUAAAUUAAAAUAAUUCUUAACUUUUACUAAAUAAAGUUUAAAAAAGGAAAUUGUAAUAUUUAUAAUAUUAAAAUAAUACAAUAUCUUUCUUUAUGAAAUAUAAUGGGGUCCUAAAGUCUGAGGCCAAAUUGGAUUCAAAUUGUAAUUUAAGCAUAUUUUAUUUUAGAAUCUGAAUCAGGCUCUUGCGGUGUGAACGCAGCCUUUCUCUCUCUCGUGCUGAACUGCGUGCAGAUCAGCCCGCGUGCUAAUCUACAGGCUGAAAUGCAUUGUGUUUCUACCGUUCUGGUUUUUGAUAGUCUGAUUUAUUCAGUGCUCCUUGCUCGGGAUUCUGGGAAAGUGGCCCAUCUGUGUGAUGUCAUAAAAGCUGGUCACAUGGUGCUCCCAGAAUCCAGAGUCCUCUUCUGGUGCAAUUGGAGAGUUCACACUUGGAUUACGUGCAAACUGGAUUACUGUACAACUCUACUACGUGUGCUGUUUUAUAAUCCUGUUUCAGAUCUGAAGUAAACAGGACUCUGGUGCUCACAGAGAUGUGCUACGAAACCGAGGAUUUUUGUACGAAUUUGAUUAAUUAAAUUGGCCCUCGCUGGAGGGAAGAGUUUAUACAGAUCACAUUACAACCGGGAAAGGACACUUUUUUGGUUUCUCUAAUCAAACUAGCACAUUAGACUACUUCUUAUUUGAGGGUUGCUCAUUUCUUUGAACUUUUGGCUGAUAUGUUGAAACCAGUCAACCAACUCAUUACCUUAAAGACAGUUUUAUUUUUUGCAGAUUCAGAUUCAGACCUGAAUGGUUAUAUUAUAUCACAGUUGAUGUUGAAAUAUGCUUAUGGCCCACAGGUUAUAGUAAACUUCUGCUUUAGCUCAUGCUCAGAAACCGAUCUUAAAGGAAAACAUCCUGCCUUUUAGACAGUUGAAGUUAUUGGAUUGUUGCUUGAUUAUAAUAAUUCACUUUGGGCAAAUGUGAUUCAAAACACCUUGUUAUUUUAGUCCAUUUUUGUCUAAUUUGAGAGAAUAAGUGUCUAGUAUUCUCAAUUUGCCAUGUUUAAGUGCAAAAAAGUUGGCUUAUUCUGUCUACAAUGCCUCGCAGAGAUAACACCGACAAUUUUUGUUGGGUUUUGAAGACAAAUGUCAGCCCAACCCCUUUAACCCUAAACAUUUUAUUUUGCUCUAAUAUCAUUUAGGGUGUGUUCACACUUGUAGUUCAGUUUUCUUGGUUCUUUUGGUCCAAAAAAAGAAAAUACAUUCAGUCCUGGUUCACUUAGCAUUCACAAUGUCAUUUUUAAGAUCGAACCUAAAGAUACAAAACAAAAAAACGGCUUUGUACUGGGCUAAACAUGGUAUUUUUACCAGCUGAGAGCUUGUAAAAUGUGUAAAGAAGUCAAAACUGUGCCAGGAAUUUCUGUUUCACACGAACGAAGAUCUGUUGCAAGGAGACUGUGUUUCCGACACCUGUACCGAACUGUGAUGGCCAACGUAGCUCCAGGUAUGCUUGAGCAAUCUGUCCUUUUUAGCGUCACGUCUUGUGACCAUCACGUUCUGUUUUGGAUUCAUUAUAUGUCUUUGGUCCUUGUUGCGUUCAUAUUUCAGUCGAAUCGCACCAGAGUUCAUUUGGAAGCGGACACCCCGAAUAGAUGGGUCUCGGUCCGCUUGUUGGGUGUGCACCAGGAUUCGGAUGUAAGCAUUCACAUUUGUUCAAAUGAACCACACUAACAGAGCAAUCGCACCAGAGUUCAUUUCAAUCAAACCAAACCUGCCAAGUCUAAGAGUUUUAAGAGUUAAAGAUGUAAAGCGAAUAUCUAAAAUGCAGGAUGUUCUCCUUUAAAGGUUCGCUUGGUAGGAUCCAACUCCUUUAGCGGGAUCUUUGUGGCACUGUGCUGGGUCGAACCGCUCGUAGCCUUAGAGUCUGUUUGUGUUCGUUUGGUGAAGGCUGGUGAAUCUCGUAACGCAACGUGAGGUUUGAUUGUUAUUAGUCGAGACUUCAGUGGUAAAUGAACUGUACAUAGACAAGUUUGCCUUUUUUUUUUUCUUUUUUUUUUUUUUUUUAGAAAUUUAUUACAUUUUGUGUGCUGGGUGUUUUUGAAUUAUUUUAGAGUAAUUAUGCCGUUAUUAUUGGCUAGUCUAUGAUUAUAUGCAUGGCUGUUAUAAUAAAGGGGGUGGAGCUGUGAGUCAGAGGUGGCCGUGUCCAAUAAAUUUGUAUUUAUGAACCCAUGUGAUUGACAGGUGAUGCGUUCGAGAGCCGACCAACCGUUGUCAGCUUUAAAGGAGGCAGGGGGUCUUGCGUGAGGUUAUUUUAGGAAUAAUAUCUCGAAGCAAAGAGACCGUGAGGGUUGUUUCAAAAAGGUGCUAUACAUUAUUCUUAAUAAAUGAUGAAUUAGAAAAGAAUGACAUGAAAGUAUAUCGUUGAGAAGUGACUUGGUCUUGACAAUGACUGUUUUAUGUUGUGUAGUCUUGAAAAAGCACUAUUAUUUUACUCUUUUAUGAAUAUAUUAACAAAAGGCAUUUUAACUUUGUACUUGACGAAAAUGUAAAAGUAAAAAAUAUGAAUAAAAAUGUACAGAUUCAUGUGUUUUAGCCUAGACAUUACUGUAGUAUGUGCCUCUCAGUAAGAAACAUUCAUUCAUACUGUAUUCGCAUGCUGCCUUCAGGUCACGUCGGAACGAUUCUAUUUACGAGUCGAGCGCACGUGAACGAACACUGUCGUAAUUGCAACUCUGGGUUUUCUUGAAUUUUUGAGUUUUGUGUCAAUUAAUCAAUCUUAUUGGUCAUAAUUUGGUUUUCAUUGCAAUUGUUGGCCGCAUAAUUUAGAUUGACGUGUUCUGUCGAAGAAAAUUAGCUAUAAAACGUGUCGGUUUAUGGGGAAACAAAACCACCCUUUCCAUCAUUCCCUGCACUUAAAGGGAUAGUUCACCCAGAAAUGAAAAUUAGCCCAUAAUUUACUCAACCUCAAGCCAUCCUAGGUGUAUAUGACUUUCUUCUUUCAGACAAACACAAGAGGUCAGAGGUCACUCUUCCACUGGAACUAGACUCGCGUACGGCCAUUACCGGAAGUUAGUGAUUAUAGUAAUAUGGAUAUUUUUCUUACAAAAAACGCAUCGCUUCACUUCAGAAGGCCUUUAUUAACCCCCUGGAGCUGUGUGGAUUACUUUUGUGAUGGAUAGAUGUGCUUUUUUGGGCUUAACAAAAAAAUGGCACCAUUCACUCCCAUUAUAAAGCUUGGAAGAGCCAGGAUAUUUUUAUAAUAUAACUCUGAUUGUGUUCAUCUGAAAGAUGAAAGUCACCUAGGAUGGCUUGAGGGUGAGUAAAUUAUGGGAUAAUUUUCAUUUUUGGGUGAACUAUCCCUUUAAUGCACAUCUUUUUCUCUUCACUUUCUGCUAAAAAUCUUCUUGUGUUUGUCAGGAAAUGAAAUAUGAAAUAUAUUUUAUUUUCGGUCACUUCAAAUUGACUUUUGAACUCGUAAGUAGGAGGACUUGAAGGCAGCAUUACUGUACACUGUUACCUAACUGCUUGGAACUGAUGGCAAAACUACAUUACCCAACAUUCCUUUCUUCAAACUCCCUCCAUGUACUCUUGCUAAGGUCAGACUAUAAUGUUUUUUUUUUAUAUAUGAUUGUUGUUGCCUCAAUAUUUAUUGCCCUACAGCCUCGUCCAUCUGAUCAGUCCACAGGUCUCUCUCUCUCUUAUACUUCCUUUCUUCACCCGCUGUAACACACAUUUAGCCUCACACUCUCUCUCUCUCUCUCUCUCUCUCUCGGCGUGGCUGUAGUUCUGUUGUGUUUCGAUGGUCUUUGGAGUGUUAUAGUAGCAGUUCAUCCUUCCAUAAUUCUCUCUGUACGCAGUGAAAGGAGAGACAGCCGAAGUGGCUCCUUUCCUGUGCACUUGUGCUGGGGAACACUUGAAUUAAAUGUACUGUUUUUGUGCUAAAA